rnacentral:rRNA from 1 species
UACGAAGGGGGCUAGCGUUGUUCGGAUUUACUGGGCGUAAAGCGCACGUAGGCGGUUUGUUAAGUCAGGGGUGAAAUCCCAGAGCUCAACUCUGGAACUGCCUUUGAUACUGGCAAGCUCGAGUCCGGAAGAGGUAAGUGGAACUCCUAGUGUAGAGGUGGAAUUCGUAGAUAUUAGGAAGAACACCAGUGGCGAAGGCGGCUCACUGGUCCGGUACUGACGCUGAGGUGCGAAAGCGUGGGGAGCAAACAGG